rnacentral:rRNA from 1 species
GUGUGGAGCCGUAGCGAAAGCGAGUUUUAACUGAGCGUUCAGUUACUUGACGUAGACCCGAAACCGGGCGACCUACCCAUGAGCAGGAUGAAGCGAAAGUAAAAUUUCGUGGAGGUCCGAACCCACGAGCGUUGAAAAGCUCGGGGAUGACUUGUGGGUAGCGGUGAAAUUCCAAUCGAGCCCGGAGAUAGCUGGUUCUCCCCGAAAUAGCUUUAGGGCUAGCCUCAAGGUGAGAGAUACGGAGGUAGAGCACUGAAUGUCCUAGGGGGUAUUGCACCUACCGAAGACUAUCAAACUCCGAAUGCCGUCAUCUUAUACUUGGGAGUCAGACUGUGGGUGAUAAGAUUCAUAGUCGAAAGGGCAA